CGUCGCCGCGGGAAUACAGAGGGUGCGAGCGUUAAUCGGAUUUACUGGGCGUAAAGCGUGCGUAGGCGGCUAAUUGAGUCGGAUGUGAAAUCCCCGAGCUUAACUUGGGAAUUGCAUUCGAUACUGGUUAGCUAGAGUGUGGGAGAGGAUGGUAGAAUUCCAGGUGUAGCGGUGAAAUGCGUAGAGAUCUGGAGGAAUACCGAUGGCGAAGGCAGCCAUCUGGCCUAACACUGACGCUGAGGUACGAAAGCAUGGGGAGCAAACAGGAUUAGAUACCCGUGUAGUCCCUGUCUCUUAUACC
rnacentral:rRNA from 1 species